ensembl:lncRNA LOC102547042 uncharacterized LOC102547042
GCACAAAUACAGCACAGCCCUCGAUCUGAGAUCUGCCUGAGUGACUGAGGGAGGUCUCUCUGCGACUGUUGGAGGCGGGAAAAACCAGGCAGGGACAUGGUUUCUGCAUCUAGACGCAGCCUGAUUCCCACCAGGAGCUCAGGACUAGACCCUGCGUCCCAGCAUCUACUCGACUCCAUCUUAAGAGUUUCGGCGUGUUGCUGGCUCCAGAACCCAACUUUUUGAUGUACUUAGAAUUUUUUGGCUUUGUGCUUGCAAAGGAGUUCAGCCACUUUCUCUUUCUGAUCUUGUUAGUGUGCUUGUCUCGUUUGCAUUUGUGGGUUCUAAUAGCGCCAUCAAAAUGAAUUGGGCAGGAGAGGAACCCUGGGAUAUUCUGCCGCGCCGCAGCCGCAGCCGCAGCCGCAGCUGCACAGGAAAAGAAGUGGUGGGUAGCAAAGUCGAGCGAGACCUUGGCUGGAAACAAAGCAGGACAGGAUGGAGGGAGACUAAAACAAGAUCUCACUAUAUAGGCCAGGCUAACUUCAAACUCCUGUUCCUCCUGCCUGCCUUUGCGUCCGAGUGCUGGAAUUACAGAAGGAUACCGUUGUGGGGGCUGAGGAUGUAGCUCUAGUGUGAGGUUUGGUCUGCUGCUAUGUAUUGUAAUGCUGAACACUGGCCCCCACCAAGCUCAGUUGCCUCAAGGAUCAGAGAAUCUUCCUGCUGACUCAGGUGACACUGUGUGACCUGCCCCCCAAGUUAUCCCUGAUUGGUACCCUGGCUGUAUCAGAGCAGAGUAAGCAGAAGAUGGAGAACUCGGCUCCUCCAGCACCACGCCUGCCUAGAUGCUGCCUGGAUGCUGCCUGGAUGCUGCCCUGCUCCCGCCUUGAUGAUAAUGGACUGACCCUCUGAACCUGGCAGGUGUGAAACCCAGUCUGUGAACAACCCUUGAGGUCCUCAUCUUGGCUUUGCUGGCAUCCAGCUCUUGCAGCUGCUCAUCCAGUUCCAUGAACAUCUCACGCUCCAGAUCCUCCCGACCUAACUAAGCGCUCUGCCCCCUCUCCAGAUGAGUCAUCUUCAAAGACUGUGAUCCAUAUUGGCUGUUCCUGAAAAACUCUUUGGCUGAGUGCUUUCCACAUAGCUCAGGUUGGUCUCAAAGUCAUGGCUAUCCUCCUGCCUCAGAUCCUCCAGUGACUGGAUUACAGGCAUGUGCCACAUGGCACAACUUGGCCUGUUGUUUUGUUUUGUUUUGUUUUUGGUACUGGGGAUUGAACCCAGACCUUUUUUGCACAUGCUAGCCAAGCAAUCUAUUCUUUUCUUUUUUAUGGAUGUGUGUGGUUACCUACGUAAGGAUGUGUGUGCAGGAGCGACAGAGGUCAGAAGAGAGCACCACAUCCCCUGGAACUGGAGUUACAGGCAGAUGCAAGCUGCCAUCUUGGUGCUGGAAAUAAAUAUGCAACUUCUAUAAGAGCAACCUAUGAGGAUAUGCCUUUUGCAAAGCAUUUCCUUUAUCCCUCUCCAGAAGAGAAAAGGAAACAGAAGUGGGGGCUGAUACAGAACUCCAACUCCUAUUAAUGGAUGCAAAGUACCCAGGAUGUCAUAAAAUGAGCCCAGUCUUCGGCCAUAAACAAAAGGCAGUCUUGUGUGUUGGCUGCUGCAUUGCCCUGUCAGCCUACAGAAGGAAAAGGAAGGCUGGCCGUUCCGCAGGACACAGCACUAAAAGCACCCUGGUUCAAGAUGAGUGGGAAGCCAUCCCAGUAAACACAUCAUGAAUUUAAAACAAAACAGCAUUACUUCAAAUGAGAUAAUUUUUAAAUAUAUAUUUUGAUGAAUUUGAGAGGUUUGUGGAGGUGGUGAUUUGGUUUUAAUUUUGAUAUGGAGCCUGAGUGUCAGAACAUCAACCUAAAAACAAGGGCAAGGUCCUUUACACUGAACCUAAAAACAAGGGCAGGUUCCUUUCUAUAGGCCGCAAUACACUCCAACUAAAGGAUCAUGAAAGAUCAAAUGACUUCUGUGUGUGUGUGUGUGUGUGUGUGUGUGUGUGUGUGUGUGUGUGUGUGUGUGUAGGUGUGGUGUUAGGAAUAGAACUCUGGACUCACGCAUGUUAGACAAGUGUUCUACAUGAUCACCCUCCUCUCCGCCUUCCUCACUACCAGUACUGCAGCUUUGUGUUGAAAGAAAUGGGUUUUACCAGCCUCCAACAGUUGGACAUGACCACUGACAUGUCAGUGAAAGUUGCUGGAUGGUCCUUCUUGGACAGGCUUUCUACCAUGUGUCGUGUACAUUAAUAUGGUGAAUUGAUGAGGUGGCAGGAAUGAAAACGCCCUCCACAGGUUCAUAUGUUUCAAUGCUUGCUCUGCCCUUUGGGAAAAAUUAGGAGGUAUGGCCUUGUUGGAAGAGGUGUGUCACUGGGGCAGACUGACUUUGUGGUCCAAAAGACUUGAGUGGUCCUUAGUGUGGUUUCUGCCUCUGGUUUCUGUUUAAAGAUGUGACUCGCCUGGUGUUCCUACUCUGACAUCACGAACUUCUGCAUCAGGAAACCCCUGAAAUCAGAAAUCCCAAAUAAAUGAUUUCUCCUUUUUUAAAA